rnacentral:rRNA from 1 species
UACGGAGGUGGCAAGCGUUGCUCGGAAUCACUGGGCGUAAAGGGCGCGUAGGCGGGGAGGUAAGUCGGGUGUGAAAUCCCUCGGCCCAACUGAGGAACUGCGCCCGAGACUGCUUCUCUUGAGUCCCGGAGAGGAAGAUGGAAUUCCCGGUGUAGCGGUGAAAUGUGUAGAGAUCGGGAGGAACACCGGUGGCGAAGGCGGUCUUCUGGACGGUGACUGACGCUGAGGCGCGAAAGCGUGGGGAGCAAAACGGG